GACAGGCAAUCUGGAGAGUGCCGGCACCAUUCGACGGAUACCGGCCACCGAAGGGGCAUGCGGGAGGAUCACCCCGUAAUCUCUCAGGUAAAAAGGACAGAGGGGUGAGG
rnacentral:ncRNA from 1 species